GUUGGGUUUCGCUUUCCCCGUGCASCCGAGCGGUKAUUACUUACGGGUGAUUGAGAGCGGCGUACGGGUGCGCAAAUGUGUGCAACCUGCCUUUAUCAGGGGGAUAGCCUUUCGUAAGGAAGAUUAAUACCCCAUAAUAUAUUAUUCGGCAUCGGGUGAUAUUGAAAACUACGGUGGAUAGAGAGGGGCACGCGCWAGAUUAGCUAGUUGGUGAGGUAACGGCUCACCAAGGCGACKAUCUUUAGGGGGCCUGAGAGGGUGAUCCCCCACACUGGUACUGAGACACGGACCAGACUCCUACGGGAGGSAGCAGUGAGGAAUAUUGGACAAUGGGUGKAAGCCUGAUCCAGCCAUCCCGCGUGCAGGAAGACGGCCCUAUGGKUUGUAAACUGCUUUUAUCUGGGGAUAAACCUACUUACGUGUAASUAGCUGAAGGUACCARAAGAAUAASCACCGGCUAACUCCGUGCCAGCAG
rnacentral:rRNA from 1 species